rnacentral:rRNA from 1 species
GAUGAGCCUGCGGCGGAUUAGCUAGUUGGCAGGGUAAUGGCCUACCAAGGCGACGAUCCGUAGCCGGCCUGAGAGGGCGGACGGCCACACUGGCACUGACAUACGGGCCAGACUCCUACGGGAGGCAGCAGUCGGGAAUUUUGGGCAAUGGGCGAAAGCCUGACCCAGCAACGCCGCGUGAAGGAUGAAGCUUUUCGGAGUGUAAACUUCAUAAGAAUGGGACGAAUAAGGAGGGGUUAACACCCCCUUUGAUGACGGUACCAUUUGUAAGCUCCGGCUAACUCCGUGCCAGCAGCCGCGGUAAUACGGGGGGAGCAAGCGUUGUUCGGAUUUACUGGGCGUAAAGGGCGCGUAGGCGGCGCAACAAGUCACUUGUGAAAUCUCCGGGCUUAACCCGGAGCGGCCAAGUGAUACUGUCGUGCUAGAGUGCGGAAGGGGCUACUGGAAUUCUCGGUGUAGCGGUGAAAUGCGUAGAUAUCGAGAGGAACACCUGCGGCGAAGGCGGGUAGCUGGGCCGACACUGACGCUGAGGCGCGAAAGCCAGGGGAGCGAACGGGAUUAGAUACCCCGGUAGUCCUGGCCUUAAACGAUGGAUACUUGGUGU